AUGGCGUUCACGAUCUCACCCUUCUCCUACAUGCUGGCGCUGCUGCGCCGCCAUCUUCUUCACCAUCUGGCACAUUAUAGCAUUUGAUGAACUGAAGACUGAUUACAGGAAUCCUAUAUUUCCUUCGCCGCCCCAGGUCCCCGACUCUCAGAGGUCGACAUCUAUAGACCAGUGUAAUACCCUGAAUCCUCUUGUACUUCCAGAGUACCUCAUCCAUGCUUUCUUCUGUGUCAUGUUUCUUUGUGCAGCGGAGUGGCUUACGCUGGGUCUCAGGAUGCCCCUCUUGGCAUAUCAUAUUUGGAGGUAUAUGAGUAGACCAGUGCUGAGUGGACCAGGACUCUAUGACCCUACGACCAUCAUGAAUGCAGACAUUUUAGCGUAUUGUCAGAAAGAAGGCUGGUGCAAAUUAGCUUUUUAUCUUCUAGCAUUUUUUUACUACCUAUAUGGCAUGAUCUAUGUUUUGGUGAACUCUUAGAACAACACACAGAAGAAUUAGUUCAAAGUGCAUGUAAAAAACCACCAAAUGAAGGGAUUCUAUCCAGCAAGAUCCUAUUUCCAAGAGUAGCCUAUGGAAUCUGAUCAUUUACUUUAAAAAAUGA